ACGAUGCUGGAGCAGGAGGCAGGUGGGAAGAACAGAGUGAAAGAGGAAGGGAGAGAGCUCUUGCUGUGAUGAAUUAGAUCACCCCUGAAGACUGGCAGCACAGGGGAAGGGGGAACUGGAUGACCCUGACAGCACGGACCAAUGGCUUUAUGAUGGUCAAGGGCACACACGUGGAGUCAGAUGCUUGGGUGCAAAACACGUCUCCACCAAUUACAUGUCAUGCUACCUUACACAAGUUACUUAACCUGAUGUAAGUCUUCAUUUACUCACCUUACUAAUGAGUAUGAUAACACUAUCUCUGUCCUAGGCAUAUUUAUGAAGAUUAAAUGAGAUGAUACAUAGAAAGCACAGUGCCUGGCCCAUAAGCUUUCAACAGAAGUUAUCAAUGGAUGAUGAUGAUGAUGACCAGUCCUAAGACUGAGGAUUUGCUACAGCAGGUGGCGAAUAGGAGGACACCACCCAACAAACUCCUAACACCCAGAUCUCCUUCUCUGAGCCUGCUUUCUGGGGAACCCAAACUCUGACAGGGAUUUACUGGGGAAAGGGGUGCCCGAUCGAGUCUCUGACAUGAACAUGACAUGUUGCCUGUGAUGAUUUUAAAACAGCCCAGAUGGCUUCACUGCCCCAUCCACUACGCCUCUAGGUCACCCACCUCCAUAAUGAGAAAAUUAAGCCCAGAGAAGUUAAAGAUCCUGACAAAAACCUCCCAGCAAGAAGAAUUGAUGCUUUGGGUCAAAUCUGGCACUCCCAGACUUCAAGCCCUGUACCACACUGAAUAUUAAUUUGGCACUAUUGUAAAAAGUUAUUGUCAAAGUUAUUGUAAAAAGCUGUGACUUUAACAAGAGAAUAAGAAGAACAAAUACAGACUCAUGGAUCCCUCAUUUUACAAAUUUAGAUUUUGUAUACU